rnacentral:rRNA from 1 species
GGUUGCGAUUAUACUAGCACUAAUGCACCGGAUCCCAUCAGAACUCCGCAGUUAAGCGUGCUUGGGCGAGAGUAGUACUAGGAUGGGUGACCCCCUGGGAAGUCCUCGUGUUGCAACCC